rnacentral:sRNA from 1 species
CAUCCUUCACCAGUUGAGGACAAAUAUAAUGCACAUGGCUGUCAAUUCCACCAGCUGUGAGGAUUAAACCUUCCGCAGAUAUAACUUCUGUGGCCACACCUACAAUCAUUCCUGGAGUAAUUCUGUCCAUGAUGUCAGGAUUCCCAGCCUUACCAAUGGCAGCUAUUUUAUUGUCCUGCAAUGGAAAAAUAUUCUUUGAUUUAUUUAACAUUCUUUAAUAAGAAAAUCUAACUGUUCUCAAUAUAAAUCUAUGCACGCGUAUGAUAUCCUUUGAAAAAG